rnacentral:sRNA from 1 species
CUAUAAAAGUGCAAGGCGGGCGGCGGCGUCCGUCCGUACUGCAGAGCCGCUGCCGGAGGGUCGUUUUAAAGGGCCCGCGCGCCGCCGCCCCCUCGGCCCGCCAUGCUGCUAUCCGUGCCGCUGCUGCUCGGCCUCCUCGGCCUGGCCGUCGCCGAGCCUGCCGUCUACUUCAAGGAGCAGUUUCUGGACGGAGGUAACGCCUGGUCCCGCCUCGAGGCCGCCCCGACGACGCGGCUGGCCCCCGAUCCUGGAUCUGCGUUGUCGCCCGUAAUUACCGUUUAGAGGUCCAAUACGGUGGCCCCCGGUGACUAGAGCCGCGGGCGAUUCCUCUUCUGCGUCCCUGGGGAGCGCGGAGGGCGUAGCGGCCUCCCGCGGCGGGAGUUAGGGUUAGCCCGAGGAUCUCUGAAGGCACUCGACGUGUCAAAGUAGAGGUUGGGAUGGGGAGAGUCGGGGAUCUCCUUUCCUGUCCCCAGCAGCUUGUGGCUCUCGGCAGAUGUUUGGUGUGGGGGAGGAUUAGUACAGCCGCGCUGACCUACCCCUCUAACCCCCCACUUAGACGGGUGGACUUCCCGCUGGAUCGAAUCCAAACACAAGUCAGAUUUUGGCAAAUUCGUUCUCAGUUCCGGCAAGUUCUACGGUGACGAGGAGAAAGAUAAAGGUUUGCAGACAAGCCAGGAUGCACGCUUUUAUGCUCUGUCGGCCAGUUUCGAGCCUUUCAGCAACAAAGGGCAGACGCUGGUGGUGCAGUUCACGGUGAAACAUGAGCAGAACAUCGACUGUGGGGGCGGCUAUGUGAAGCUGUUUCCUAAUAGUUUGGACCAGACGGACAUGCACGGAGACUCAGAAUACAACAUCAUGUUUGGUCCCGACAUCUGUGGCCCUGGCACCAAGAAGGUUCAUGUCAUCUUCAACUACAAGGGCAAGAACGUGCUGAUCAACAAGGACAUCCGUUGCAAG